CCCUUCCUGCGCCCGCCUUCCCCCGCAACCGGGACGCGACCGAACGGGACGGGACGGGGAGAAAUAGCCGAGUCACGGCCUAGAACCCGUAAGGGCAGGGCGGGGGAACUACCGCCCGUCUCGGGCAGGGUACCUCGCGCUCCGUCAGGGACGGUCUCCAAUGUCAGAUGCCUUCCUCCUUUCAGACUCCUCUUUAAAUGUUACAGCAGAAAUGUGAACCUUGUUGGAGUUGUCAGUGUCCUGAUUAGAAGCAGAUGGCAUUAGGAAUAGCUAAAAUGUGUAUGUAAAUAUACCCCCUGACUGCAGCUGCUGUGGAAAAAGAAGAAAUUAUAAGGAAGAUCUACGCAUGUACUAUAAAGCUGGGAGAAAAUGAGAGACAGCAGGUGAAAGAAGCAGCAUUUACAAAGGAAGAAAAAGGAAAAUCACUAAAGGAAAUGCAUAUGGAUAUCAGGUUUUUCUAAAACCGAGCUCACCUUUCCAGCCACAGCAUUGACUUGAGGAGAUCCUUCCAGCAGUGAAGAGCACGCUGUUUUACUUCUUCAGCCAAAAUUUUAUCCUGUUUAUAUAAAUAUAUAUGCAAUAUAUGCAAAGCACCAUAGGAAACAAGGGGAGACGAUGUCAAGCUUUGACAAGAUGAAGAUAAUUCUGGAGCUUUGAAUAACUACCCAUUACAUUUCUGAAUAUUAAAAAUAUGCUGGAAAAAGAAAAAUUUAAAUGUAAAUGUGGUCCCUUCAGAAGCAUCCUACAACUAUUUUACUAGGUUAGCGUAUAAAGCCUUUUAAGAACAAAUACAGGUUUAAAUAAAUUAUGCAAAAGAAACUGAGAUUAGGUAACUUCUGUAGGGGAAAAGCACUAUUUUAAAAACAUAAUUUAAACCUUCAUUUUUCAUACCUCCAUAGCAAUUUCAUUUAACAUAGAAAAAAUUCUUCCUAAUGGAAACAUGUUAUGUCACAAGAAAACACCACAUUCAGACAUAUAGAUGAUCAAAACUGAACUCUGAAAUGAACGAAGAUCUUAGUGGUUUAGAUCUUUCAAAUAAAUGGGAAAAAAACCCCACAGAAGUUCCUGUCAAAAUAUUUGCAGACAGAUUCUCAUAACUUAUAUCAAUCAUAAAUAGUUCAAAUUGGUAACGAACUGGCAUUUUCUUCCUUAUGAAUUUACUUAAGAAACAGAUUGGGCAAGAAGAGGGGACAACUUAGAAGCAAUACUGGCCAACAACUUUCUGUCAAAACAUUAGCUAAUUGCGAAUCAGGCUGCCACUUGUUACCACUUAUUGAAGUGAACAGAACAGCAUCUAAUUCAGUGAUUUAGAAUUAAGAUCUGUUACCACCAAUUCACUGGUAAUUUACUUGUGAAAGCAGCUUGAUGGGUGUUAUCAAUGACUUCUGUUAACACGAAACUGGAUUAAAACUCCACAAGUUACUCUCCUAAAAACUACGAGCCUGCAAAUGUACCUUCCUAAAUAAACUCAUCUAAAGAAUGUACUCACUAAAUAACACAGCUCUUUUUCAUUAUACUAAUUCAGAGAGCCUCUCUCAGUGAGUAUCAAAUCAGGGAUCCUGCCUCUGGCACUCAAGCAUAAGGGCACACCAGCACAGAGCCGAGUACAAUUCAAGUACCUGACCAGUUAAAUAACCUUGCCAAAAUGGCAGACAUGCUUAUUUAUUUAAGUUUUAAUACAAAUCUUAGCAGUAAAUCAAUGUUAAUGGCCAGAUACCUUAGAAAGGGGAAACACAAGGCAGUAAAAUGAGCACAGAAGCAGGGAAAAGGGAGGGACUGAAUUCCCAGCACUGUGCCAUGGCUGCCACAGGAGUGCAGGUAGCUGUCCCUGGCCAAAGAACUUGGAAAAAGAAAUGACAUGGGCUCUUUUAUUUAAAAGAGGAAGUAUGAAGAAUUCUAGUAAUAUACUAUCAGCUAGGAAAUACUCACUUUUUCUACUAAGGGUAUUAACUGCUGGUGCUCUGCUAGAGUCUUUAACAAUUCCAUGAUGAAAGGCAGGUAGUUAUGUUUUCUUCUAAUAUUUUCAAUCUAAAAAUAAAUUAAAAGCAUUAACAGAAUUAUUAUAUACCUGAACUAUUUUCUAGUCCCCAUCCAGUUCCUUCACAUUAAUUGCAAAGCUCCCAUAUAUAUAUAAAAGCUGACUUGAUCUUACAACUGUACCAAUAAUUUCAUCAGAAAAGCAAAGACUACAUACCUUAUAUCUUUUUAAUUUUUGGUUCUCUUCUUCAAUUAACAUCUGGUAUUUUGCAACUUCUGAUUGUAUAGAACUUAACAUAUUACUACUUUGAUCUGUAUCCAUAGGCUCCUCCUUCCACAAAACAAAAAUUUAAAUGGAUGAUGUUACUCCAUUUUUAAAUUUUACUUUUUUAAAAGCAAGUUUUGUCUCAAGGGUAUUUCUAUCACAGAAAGAUUCAGUUUUGUUUACCAUUAUAGGUACAUACCAGGAAUUUCUGCAGUUAGUUACAAACAGGUACUGGGAAAAAAACCAGUUCCAGCACGGCAGCAAAUGAGUCGAGGCAGAAAGUCAAAAUGACAUGGUCAACACUGUGCUGAGUGCUCAGCUCAGAGCUGCAGCACUGAAUGCACCCACACUGUGCUGGACAUAUCUCUAGCAAUCACUCCCUGCAUUUUUUACUGCUGCUCCAUUGGGAGCAAGGAAGGGAAGUGAAUAGUAAAGCCAACACACAAGACUAUCAUAGAAAUACUGUAGCAAUUUAAAUUCCAUGGCCUACCUCUGCCAGUUGCUGCUGUAGCUCUGCAAUCCUCUGCUCAUAUAUCAUCUUCCUGUCAGACACAAUAGCCAUCAGGUUAAACCUUAUCUCACCUUCACUGUAUCUAAAUGGGGAACAGAAAAACAAAACAACAAAGACAACCCGCUUUCAAAAUUAGUUACCAACAUGACAAUUCAAAAGCCCACUACUUGAUUUCAUUUCAUAGAAAAAAAAAUUUUAAUGGGUCUAUUAAAUUAAGCUGUGCUACAGAUCCAGUCUUGUUACAAAAUAAAAUCAGAUCACAAAUUAACUCUAUCCAAUAUGUAACUCCUAAUUACCUUCUCUCCCCAAAAUUUACUAUUCCUGUCUGUGAUCACAAAACAAAUACUGAAACUGUCCAAAAAAGAAAACAUGACAACAGAACUUACAGAAGAUGCUUCACACAAUAGUUUUUACUUUCUAUUACAUGUUAGAAAAUAUUGGAGACUUCUCCACACAGUGUGAGAAGUACAUUCAACAAUUAGACUAGCAGGCCUUUUGGAGGUUAAGUUCUCCAAAAACAACUUUGUAUUCCUGUUUUGCUAAUCAAAAAAAAAAAAAAAAGUCUUGUUUUCUAAAAAUGGCAUAAAAUCAACCUUAUUCCAAACAAAUUUGGGACUGCAGUUUGGAAACAGAGUUAAGAAGUAGCAAAGUUCCACAGUGUGUUUUUCUAGCUUAAAUUUCUAAGACAAGCCAUACCUAAGAAAAACUUCAGAUCUCUAAGUACCAGCUGUAUGGACAGAAUGGCUGUCUAAUAAUUUUAAGUGCAUAGGCAAAUGUUAUUCAUGGUCAUGACACUCUUUCACUCACAAAGAUCCACAGCUCUGUAACAGAUAACAAUCUUCUUUUCCAGAGCACUCGAGGAUCUCUCUUCACUACACAGUCACCUACUUGGAUUAAUUAUGCAGCAGCACAGUAUAUUUGAGAUUUAUCUAUCAUCACAUUUGCCUCAUGUUGGGCAACAGGUUCUCAAGUCACACAGUGAUAUGCAUAAAGAAAUGAUGCAUAAGUGCCACUGCUUAGAAAUUCAGCAGAAAUCCUUUAACUGAAGGAAGUUAAGACAAAGGAAUUUUCAAGCAUAGACAGGAUUCAGGAAGAUGCUUGAAAACAUGUCUGCAGUAAAAACCAAUUGUACCAAAUGUCUUCAAGUGGGAACAUUUAAAAGAAGAAAAUGUGCGAGAAAAGAAAGAGGCGAAGACUUGUUGAGAUUUUUCAGGCUCCAGUGUCAUGACAGUUUCGAAGCUCCAGAUCAACAGAUCAAUAGCCUUAAAUGUCAUAAAAAUUGCCCUAACCAAUCUCUUUGUUCUGGGAUUCCAGCCUACAAAUUAACAUAGUGUAAUUCUAUAUCAUCCCUUUAGUAAUGAAGAAAAAGGUCUUCUGCAAAGACCCUCAAAGUGAGCAUAAAACUUGGCUUAAAACAUACAGUGGAAAUAAAAAAUGAACCCAGUGGCAUGAUGGCUGGGAGGACUUGCUCUUUACAAUACAAAUAUUCAAUACUAAUUCUCAUCUUGCUUUGUGCUCCUGGGUGACUCAGAAGGAUCCAGACUGUAGUUGUGAGAAGUGCAGUAACUUCAGUACUACGAUAAAGAACCCCCUGUCCUCUCACUUACCUGUUACCAGUUUUGUCCUGUACACACCUGCUGAACAGACACAUCUCGUAGUACAGCAGAGACCAGCCCAGAUGCUAUGCACAGAAAACUGCUGGGCAAUGAGCUUCACUGGCUCACAGAGUUUCACUGCACCCUGCUCUCAUCAGCAGCAAAUCAUAGGAUCAGACACUGGCUCAAGAAAACACUAAGUCCUCAAAACAUUGCUUGUCAAGUUGGAUCUCUAACCCAGGUUAACUUUCUUCAGUGUGAAAGUCACCAGAGCUAAACUGGGAUUAAACAGAUUCCUCCAAAAUAUCCAAAGCAGUUUCUUUCUCUUGACUUUUAAUAAUAAUUUCUCUGUACCUAUUUCUAGUUGUUCAGUCACAAUAGCUCAGUCCAGGCAAAACAGAACUGAUAUGAAAGACAAGCAUAUAGAUGUCUUUAAGGAAUGUUUUAAUUUUGCAAAGCCACUGCACUUGACUGACAGAUAACAAUAAAAAAUGAAAAAGAUACUAACUCUAAACUUUUUGCAAAUGACCUCUGAAACAUCUAUUCCACUCCAUCAAGUGGCAAAACCAGGCAGUACUAUUGUAAGAGUCAACAUUUCUAGAAAUUGCUUUCCAUGCUAAAAUUAAGAGUCACUCCAGCAUACUCUCUUUGAAGGCAGCGGGUAAAGGAAAGGGACAAUUAAAAAGGAGGUUUCAGCUUAAGAACACAUGAAAAUAUGAGUGUUUCAAAGAAAACUAUAAAAUAAAGAAGACUUUUCACUGUUAGCCUUUAAUUUGGUGGGGCUUGUUAUCAAAUCAAACAUCAUCCAAAUUCUGUGAUGUACAUUCUGCAAUCUCAUCUUAAAGCUCAAGAAAGCUCCUCUUAGCUAUUGCCUUUAAACACGGUAUCAAGCUUCACAAAAGGAAGAAGGUGGAGAAGGCAAAAGAAGUGCAGCAAGCAGACAAAUGCUUUGAAACUUUUCAGCAUUCACAAGAACAGCAAUUCUAGGACAACCUCAGCUACUCACAGGAAAUAAGAUGAAACCCCUUGAGUGAAGGAAAGUUCACCUUCACUUUAAAAUAAAAAAAACCAACAUCGUCCAAAAAAAUCCCUCUCUAGAUUCCAGUCAGAGUCAUCUCCUCCCACCAUGUAACUACCUUUUAAAAUUUACAGCAAGGAUUUUCUCUGAGUUCUUGGCCUCAUGGCUGUUCUUUAGCUACAGCCCUGGGCUACUAACAGUAAGUUUGGUUAGGUAGAAUUCACAACCUAAACCAUUGUCUAUGAGAGCUACCAAACUACAAUUAGUAAACUGCUACUGAUCACUGCAUCAUAAAAAUGUUGGGCAGUGCUUGGCAGGACUCAAGAGCUACAGCAGGGGAAGAAUGAAGAGAAGCAGCAUUGAAAAAGCUGAUCCACAACAGCAUGAUUAUAAAAGGAAUGAAACAGAAGUGCAGGUACAGGAUGGCCAGGAUGGCUAUUUGCAUUGUUUUCCGUAUUUCUAUACUUUUACCUGGAAGUGUGAAGAGAUUUCUUCAUAUACUGAAAUUUACAUUCAAAAUUUGCAUUUGUGGUGGGAAAUAAAACAAGAAAAAACCCAACCAAAAAAAAAGCCCCCAAAUCCCCCACCCAAAACACCCCAACAACUAGGCCAUGUAACAGUCUCCACAGAAAUCCUAAUAACUUGCCCUUUGAUAUCAAUAUUUUGUAAUUAAUACCCAUAUUAAAUACUCCUACUUUCAUUCUGA